GUGGAUUAUAUACCCUGGUAGUCCACGCCGUAAACGAUGGAUGCUAGCCGUCGGCAAGCUUGCUUGUCGGUGGCGCAGCUAACGCAUUAAGCAUCCCGCCUGGGGAGUACGGCCGCAAGGUUAAAACUCAAAGGAAUUGACGGGGGCCCGCACAAGCGGUGGAGCAUGUGGUUUAAUUCGACGCAACGCGAAGAACCUUACCAGCUCUUGACAUGUCCGGACGGUUUCCAGAGAUGGAUUCCUCUCAGCAAUGGGCCGGAACACAGGUGCUGCACGGUUGUCGUCAACU
rnacentral:rRNA from 1 species